rnacentral:lncRNA from 1 species
GCGGGCUUUGUUUAUGUAUUUUUAUUUUAGUUUCGGAGAAUCUAUUGUUGCUGGUCUUUCUCUGUAUAUCUGGCAUGUUUUACUUUCAAAAUAAUCGGUUGUUGAUGCAUGAUCUUUGUUUUUGUAUGUGGUUUAUUUAAGUUUCGGAAGGAAUCGGUUGUUGCUGGUCUUUCUUUGCAUAUCUGGUUUAUUUUAGUUUCGGAGGAAU